CAAAUUAUGAGCGAGAAGGCGUGAGAGAAGAGUCCCCUCUUUUGCUGCUUGGAGAACUGAGGACCAUCUAGGAGGAGGAGGAGGAGGAGGAGGAGGAGGAGGAGGUAGAGGAGCACACACGUCAUCUAGCGGCGGCUGCAGCUUCGGCAUAGGCAACCUGUUCGACAUAAUGUCUGAGAGGCUUAAUGACGAGGAAACCAUGGAAACGACUCACGCCAGCGGAGAGGACCGCCUCGAGGCCCUCCCAAAUGAUCUUCUCGGCUAUCUUAUGUCGUUCCUACCUUCACACGACUCUGUGCAGACAUGCGUUCUCGGUAAGCGUUGGAGCAUGCUCUGGAAGUCUGUGCCCGCCCUACGCAUCAAUGACCCCGAUAGCUACGACGACGUCAGUGGCUCCAACACAUUUGUGAACGAGUUUCUUCUCCUUCGCGACCCAACUCCUCUAAAUGUAUGUGACAUCAGUUCGGAUUGUGUGGAGACUGCGGCUGAUUACCCCGAAUGGGCCGAUGAGGCAUUCCAACAAAUGAAGCCGUGGCUCUGGGAUGCUCUAUCGUGUCAAGUUCAAGUGCUUAAAAUUUGUUUUCCCUGGCGGGUAAUCGAAACUACUAUCAUCUCGUCACACUUGAAGAGGUUACAUCUUGAUGGCAUGCACUUUGAGGGAUGCUCCCUCGAUUUUUCGAGUUAUAAGGUGCUAGAAGUGUUAGAGAUGAUAAGUUGUGACAUCUAUGUGAAUAUCCUAUCCCAAACAUUACGACAUCUUAAAAUUAAUGGUGGGGGUUUUUGUAUUGAUGACCGCAUUCGUAUUUCCACCCCAAAUCUCAUUGGCUUCAUACUAGCUCCACUUUGGGGUUGGGCUCCUUUGCUAUAUAGCAAGUCAUUACUUGUAACAACAUCUGUAAAGCUUGGAGAAGGGUGUGAGGGGAACUGUGUUACUGUGGUAAUCCAUCAUGUGAAGGAUGUGAUGCUCAACCUGGUGGAACCAACUAUCCUGUGGCUCUGGAAAGUUUGUCGGGCACAACAAAUUUUAAGUUGAAAAUAUAUGAUCCGACACGGUUAUCUAUUUUCAGAAUGGAUUUGAAAUGGCGCCCUGUGUUUAGCAAGUUAAAAACAUUGUUGCUCAAUGAAUGGUGUGAUAGUUCGCCGUAUUAUAAAGAUUCUAUGUGCCCAUGGAGUGCCUUACGAGAAAAUUGAGGUUGAAGUUCGCAUGGUUUAAUUUUGAUCUAUAUCUGAUCAGAUCAUCCCCGUUAUUCAAACUUGAGGCCCUCGGAUCUAGUGCCAUGAAGUUGUUGUGUCUCAUCUACUAGUGUCCUAUUCAUAUGAAGUUAUGAACUCUUAUGUGCUUUGUUGCAUUUCGUCUACUAGUGUCCUAUUCAUAUGAACUCUUAUGUAUUUCUGU